rnacentral:tRNA from 1 species
GGAAACUUGGCAGAGCCUGGUUGAAUGCGCCGGUCUCGAAAACCGGAAGAGGUUAAUCACCUUUCAUGGGUUCGAAUCCCAUAGUUUCCGCCA